UCUCCUAGAAGGGAGUUCUCUGAGGACUGGCCUGCCCAGUGAGAAGGAAGGAAGAUGUCCCCAGCCCAUAGUGAUCCAAGGAGGCCACAGUGUCAGCCUUUGGGGCUGGCUGGCUCCAGCAUCACCUGGGGGCCGGUUGACACGCAGCUGUGACCAACGGGGUGUGAGGCUUAGCUACAGAAAGGAGUCACUAUCCUAGAGAGAAGGGUGGAAGCCCAAAACUCAUACAAUGGCAUAACCUUGUCCUUCCCCAAGCCUCCAUGGAAGCUUUCCAUGGGCUACAUACAGAGAGCCUGUUUCAUAAAGCCAAAGCAAGAACCAGAUCAUGCAAGAACUGGCCAUGAGACGGGUUGGCAAGGCUCUGGAGAGCUAAAUUGAAAAUAAAUUGGAAGAGACAGGCAUGGAUCUGUAAUCGCAGCUACUUGGAGGCUGACGUAGGAGGAUCAUAGAUCAAUGCCUAUCUGGGCUACAGAGUGAGUUCAAGGCCAGCCUGGCCACCUAGUCUCAAAAUAAAAACAUUUU
rnacentral:lncRNA from 1 species